UGGGGAAUUUUGGACAAUGGGCGCAAGCCUGAUCCAGCCAUGCCGCGUGCGGGAAGAAGGCCUUCGGGUUUGAUCAACCGCUUUUGUCAGGGAAGAAAUCUUCUGAGUUAAUACCUCGGGAGGAUGACGGUACCUGAAGAAUAAGCACCGGCUAACUACGUGCCAGCAGCCGCGGUAAUACGUAGGGUGCAAGCGUUAAUCGGAAUUACUGGGCGUAAAGCGUGCGCAGGCGGUUUUGUAAGACAGAGGUGAAAUCCCCGGGCUCAACCUGGGAACUGCCUUUGUGACUGCAAGGCUUGAGUGCGGCAGAGGGGGGAUGGAAUUCCGCGUGUAGCAGUGAAAUGCGUAGAUAUGCGGAGGAACACCGAUGGCGAAGGCAAUUCCCCCUGGGGCCUGCACUGACGCUCAUGCACGAAAGCGUGGGGAGCAAACAGGAUUAGAUACCCUGGUAGUCCACGCCCUAAACGAUGUCAACUGGUUGUUGGGGAAGGUUCCUUCUCAGUAACGUAGCUAACGCGUGAAGUUGACCGCCUGGGGAGUACGGCCGCAAGGUUGAAACUUAAAUGAAUUGACGGGGU
rnacentral:rRNA from 1 species